CACCCUCCACAAUGGGCAAAGAGACAUCUUAUUGAUGCUGUUCUUAUAUCAGCCAGGGGCAGAGCAGAUAGCAGGCCUUUGUUCAUCUUAGCCUGAGGCCUGGCUUGGUCACCGAAGAUGUCUUAUGCCUAGAAUACAUAA
rfam:Mus musculus chromosome 6, GRC primary reference assembly.